GGCAACAAUAUGACCCAGACGCAAAACUGAACUUCUAUGAUCCUGAGAUUUUGACAAGCUGCAAUGCAACACACAAGUCCUUAGGGUGUGAACUAAACUCAUGAUCCUGGAAUUGCUACUGUUGUGCUUUAUCAGCUGAGCUACAGGAACUCCAUCACAGGAUGUUUCCUUGUGAACUCGCGCUCUCUAAGGUGUGCUGAAAGGUGGCCUGUAAGGACAUGAGCGGUGGAGGUCAGAACGGACAGGAAGCGGCUGUUUGUUUGUCUGGACACUUGUUUGUGAGACUGGCCAUUAUCCUCCUCAUUAAUUCUGAUGGUAAAUAGCCCGGCUCAAGAUUGGGAAGGUUAUACCGACCUCACACUCCUCCAUAACUCUAUGUUUGAAUUAUUUUAGCCCUCACGGUGGCUGGUUUUGUCCCUUUUGUUAGGGCAGCUUUGUGUUUACAGCCUACACUAUUAAAAAGAAAGGUUCGUUGUUGUCUUUGAUGGUUCCGUGAAGAACCUUUAACAUCCAGAACCUUUCCAUUCCACAAAAAGGUUCUUUAUAGUUGAAAAAGGUUCUUUAGAUUUUUAAAAUGUUCUACACACUAAGAAAAAAUGUUUUUUUGAAGAACUGUUGACUGAAAGGUUCUCCGGAAAACCCAAAAUGGUGGUUACGUGGCUUUUGGAACAUUUAUUUUUAAGAGUGUACACAACACAUAUCACAAGAGAAUCGCAACACUGGUGGAUUUUAUCCAUCAAAAUGUCACUGUGGUGCAAUUUCAGCUCAUUUUGAAUUGAUUCUUUUACCCAAGGCUGAACUUUUUGGGGUUAAAAUGAAAAUUCUUUUUUUACUCACCUGUAUGAUUUUCUGUCAUUUGUUGAACAUAAUGCUGAGUUUUUAACAGUGCUGAGGAUCUUGUAUGUCUGUGUGGGAUGUGUUUCAUGUCUGAACUGUUAAAUAAUGAAAGCUAAAUUCAUAUUUGUUGUCCCCCAGGUGAACCUUCUCUACACACUUUCUUAAGUCAGAUAUUACACUUAUUCAUAUUGCCACUGCUGUCA